rnacentral:misc_RNA from 1 species
ACGUCGGUUCACGAGUAUUCGACGGUGCUCAUGACGCUCAUCAGCAACUACAGCGGACUCUUAGACGCCAAGAAAGACUACAAAGGCGCUGAGAGCAUUCUGAAGGCAGGACAGGGAGGGGGCUAGUAAGAUGCGCAGCAUGCGUUCUCUGAGAUGCAGAAAGUAGGUGGAUUCCGUACGAGACGCACAGCGCGGCUGCCUUUUCGCCAAUAUGCACUGCUCCAAGAGCAACACAGUGCAACACAUCAUCGCGACCGGCGUGCAUGUGGACUUUUUCCAAACGGGCGCAGUGCGUGGACAAAGCAGAGGCACACCUCGCAAAGGCUUACCGGCCAUACCUUUUCUGAGAGCGCAUGGACAACGGUUACUUCCGCACUCUAACCCCAACUGCGAUGCAGAGGAUGUCAAAAGUGCUCGUGAGCUGGGUGUGAGAGCAGCAUCGCACGCCGUUCAGGCGGGAUUCACUGCCUGGUGAGCUCGGCAUCGGCGUCUGUAAGAUCUGUCACCUGCUGCGAGAACACGGCAAGGACCACGUCGCAGCUUAAGUUAUAAAGCGAGCCGUCGAACCGGACAUCAUGAACUCUGGGUGUUUAUACUGUCUCAGCAAAUGCGCUUUCCUACCGCGUACCUUUGAACUCAGUUCAUGUAUCUUAGGCUGUAUUUUUUCGCCCUCUUCCUCAACCCGUCGCGUUCCUCAACUUGUUUACUGUCAUGAGAAACGGCAUGGUUGGGCGACUCUCUUUUCUUUUCCCAGGCUGCCCUCGGAAUACGUAAAUCAUCGCUGCCUAACAACGAAGGACAACUUCUCCCACCUCCUUUUUCUCUGAUCUCACCUAAAUAACCCGGUUGACACUUUCUGAUAGCCCGCCUAGAGGAGCAUCAGCCCGUUCGGUGCUGGCGCGAAAAGCAUACGCAGCUCUCUCCCCACUUUCGAAGCAUGAGGUAUUUUUCUCCUUGUCUCAAGCCUGCGCGCUCCAGUUUUCUUUUUUCUAUCCUAACGCGGCACUGAUUUCCGCGAUCAUCAUAGCCAGCCUCUCUAGUGUGCUCCACUUUGUGCAAAAAGUGCACGACAUCUC